UAGGAAGAAUCUAGAUAUAUUCUUGUGUUUGAAAUAUUGACGAUCGAGCAAACAUGUUUUCUUUAUAUACUUGCAUUGUACGUGUAUGGUUCUUUCCAAACUAAGAUAUGGUUCUUCGGUUGAUCCAUCAAUUUGUAUUUCAUAAAUGGUGGCUAAUUGCAUAAAAACAAACUGUAAGUUUCGAGACUUGAUUUUUGGUUAUUUAAGUUUCCAAACAAUUUAUAUGGCCCAUUCUGAUUUUGGUUCGUUUCUAUCUUAACUUGGUGUUUGCAUUAUGGGUACAGACUAAGCUCAUCAAGGAGUGGGAAAACUACCGGUUGAUGGAUCCUGCACGUUAUGGCUUUUCUGGAACAAUGGUCUUUCUGAAGCAUAGGAUAAUAAUCGAAUGGGAGGACCCAAAGGAGGCUGAUGCUACUGCAUUAUGGGAGGGUGUUUGUCUGGACCAACGUUGGCACAUAUCCUUAGUGCCCCCUCGAGGAAAGGCGACAGCUAGAGCAUGAGUUAGAGUUUGCCUUUUUUUUCUUCUAUCUUCCAUAGUGCGUGAAGACUCCUAUCUGUAAUUAUAUUUUCUUAACAUUAAUAAUUAUCUAUUCUGCAAAAAAGUUUGUUCAUUGAAAUAUAAAGUUUGUUUUUUAGGUUUAAAAAUUUAUUGUAAA